GACGAACGCUGGCGGCGUGCUUAACACAUGCAAGUCGAACGGAAAGGCCCUGCUUUUGUGGGGUGCUCGAGUGGCGAACGGGUGAGUAACACGUGAGUAACCUGCCCUUGACUUUGGGAUAACUUCAGGAAACUGGGGCUAAUACCGGAUAGGAGCUCCUGCUGCAUGGUGGGGGUUGGAAAGUUUCGGCGGUUGGGGAUGGAUUCGCGGCUUAUCAGCUUGUUGGGGGGGUAGUGGCUUACCAAGGCUUUGACGGGUAGUCGGCCUGAGAGGUUGACCGGCCACAUGGCGACUGAGAUACGGCCCAGACGGCUACGGUAGGCAGCGGGGGGGAAUAUGGCACAAUGGGCGGACGUCUGAUGCAGAAACGCCGCGUUCGUGAUGCCGGUCUUCGGGGUGUAAACCGCUGUCGCCUGUGACGAAGCUGUAGUGACGUUACUGGGUAAAGAAGCACCGGCUAACUACGUG
rnacentral:rRNA from 1 species